rnacentral:rRNA from 1 species
GUCGAGAAUAAUUCACAAUGGGGGAAACCCUGAUGGUGCAACGCCGCGUGGAGGAUGAAGGUCUUCGGAUUGUAAACUCCUGUCAUCUGGGAGUAAGACCUGACGGUGAAUAGCCGGCAGGGUUGAUAGUACCAGAAGAGGAAGGGACGGCUAACUUCGUGCCAGCAGCCGCGGUAAUACGAAGGUCCCAAGCGUUGUUCGGAAUCACUGGGCGUAAAGGGAGCGUAGGCGGCGUGGUAAGUCAGAUGUGAAAUCCCGGGGCUCAACCCCGGAACUGCAUCCGAUACUGACAUGCUUGAGGGUUGGAGAGGUAGCUGGAAUUCUCGGUGUAGCAGUGAAAUGCGUGGAUAUCGAGAGGAACACUCGUGGCGAAGGCGAGCUACUGGACAACAUCUGACGCUGAGGCUCGAAGGCCAGGGGAGCAAAAGGGAUUAGAAACCCGGGUAGUCC